rnacentral:rRNA from 1 species
UACGGAGGGCGCAAGCGUUGUUCGGAUUUACUGGGCGUAAAGGGCCCGUAGGCGGUUAUGUAAGUCGGAGGUGAAAGCCCGGGGCUCAACCCUGGAACUGCCUUUGAAACUGCUAAGCUUGAGUGCGGGAGAGGAAAGCGGAAUUCCCAGUGUAGAGGUGAAAUUCGUAGAUAUUGGGAGGAACACCGGUGGCGAAGGCGGCUGACUGGAACGGUCCUGACGCUGAGGCGCGAAAGCUUGGGGAGCAAACCGG